AGAGUUUGAUCCUGGCUCAGAACAAACGCUGGCGGCGUGCAUAACACAUGCAAGUCUAACGGGAAAGUCGGCUUCGGCUGGCAAGUACCGUGGCGAACGGGUGAGUAACACGUGGGUAAUCUAACCUCGAGUUUGGGAUAACCUUGCGAAAGCGGGGCUAAUACCGAAUAAGACCACGCUUGGUUCGCCAAGUGCGGUAAAAGGCGGCCUCUUCAUGAAAGCUGUCACUUGAGGAUGAGCCCGCGGCCUAUUAGCUAGUUGGUGGGGUAAUGGCCUACCAAGGCAACGAUGGGUAGCCGGCCUGAGAGGGUGUACGGCCACACUGGCACUGAGAUACGGGCCAGACUCCUACGGGAGGCAGCAGUGGGGAAUUUUGCGCAAUGGGGGAAACCCUGACGCAGCAACGCCGCGUGAGUGAUGAAGGCCUUCGGGUCGUAAAGCUCUUUUAGUGGGGAAGAAUCCCACCCGGGUUAAUACCUCGGGUGUCUGACGGUACCCACAGAAAAAGUUCCGGCUAACUACGUGCCAGCAGCCGCGGUAAUACGUAGGGAGCAAGCGUUGUUCGGAAUUAUUGGGCGUAAAGAACGCGUAGGCGGUUCGGUAAGUCUGACGUGAAAUCCCAGAGCUUAACUCUGGAACUGCGUUGGAUACUGCCGAGCUUGAGUGUGGGAGAAGUGAGUGGAAUUCCCAGUGUAGAGGUGACAUUNGUAGAUAUUNGGCAGGCACACCCGUGGCGAAGGCGGCUCACUGGACCACAACUGACGCUGAGGCGCGAAAGCUAGGGUAGCAAACGGGAUUAGAUACCCCGGUAGUCCUAGCCGUAAACGAUGGGCACUAGGUGUUGGAGGUAUCGACCCCUCCAGUGCCGCAGUAANGCNUUAAGUGCCCCGCCUGGGGAGUACGGUCGCAAGACUCAAACUCAAAGGAAUUGACGGGGGCCCGCACAAGCGGUGGAGCAUGUGGUUUAAUUCGAAGAUACACGAAGAACCUUACCUGGCCUUGACAUCCCAAGAACUUUCCAGAGAUGGAUUGGUGCUAGCUUGCUAGAACUUGGUGACAGGUGCUGCACGGCUGUCGUCAGCUCGUGUCGUGAGAUGUUGGGUUAAGUCCCGCAACGAGCGCAACCAUCGUCUUUAGUUGCUAACAGUUAGGCUGAGCACUCUAAAGAGACUGCCUCCGUAAGGAGGAGGAAGGUGAGGACGACGUCAAGUCAUCAUGGCCCUUAUGGCCAGGGCUACACACGUGCUACAAUGGGGCGUACAGAGAGCUGCAAUACCGCGAGGUGGAGCCAAUCUCUUAAAGCGUCUCUCAGUUCGGAUUGUUCUCUGCAACUCGAGAACAUGAAGCUGGAAUCACUAGUAAUCGCAGAUCAGCUAUGCUGCGGUGAAUACGUUCCCGGGUCUUGUACUCACCGCCCGUCACACCAUGGGAGUUGAUUUCACCCGAAAUCGGGAUGCCAAACAGGCUACCGCUUACGGUGGAAUUAGCGACUGGGGUGAAGUCGUAACAAGGUAACCG
rnacentral:rRNA from 1 species